rnacentral:rRNA from 1 species
CGGACGGGUGAGUAAUGUCUGGGAAACUGCCUGAUGGAGGGGGAUAACUACUGGAAACGGUAGCUAAUACCACAUAACGUCGCAAGACCAAAGAGGGGGACCUUCGGGCCUCUUGCCAUCGGAUGUGCCCAGAUGGGAUUAGCUAGUAGGUGGGGUAAAGGCUCACCUAGGCGACGAUCCCUAGCUGGUCUGAGAGGAUGAUCAGCCACACUGGGACUGAGACACGGCCCAGACUCCUACGGGAGGCAGCAUG